UCCACAUAUUAGUAAUGCCUGAGAGAGC
rnacentral:piRNA from 1 species